rnacentral:rRNA from 1 species
GGCGCACGGGUGAGUAACACGUAGGUGAUCUACCCUGGGUUUGGGGAUAGCCCAUGGAAACAUGGGGUAAUACCGAAUACGUUCUUUUGGUUAUGGCCGAAAGAGGAAAGGCGCGGGUGGGCCGACCUGGGAUGAGCCUGCGACCUAUUAGCUAGUUGGCGGGGUAACAGCCCACCAAGGCGACGACGGGUAGCCGGCCUGAGAGGGUGAACGGCCACACUGGGACUGAGAUACGGCCCAGACUCCUACGGGAGGCAGCAGCUAAGAAUCUUCCGCAAUGGGGGAAACCCUGACGGAGCGACGCCGCGUGGAUGAUGAAGGCCGAAAGGUUGUAAAAUCCUUUUCUCUGUGAAGAAUAAGUGGGGCAGGAAAUAGCCGCAUGAUGACGUUAGCAGAGGAAUAAGCCCCGGCUAACUACGUGCCAGCAGCCGCGGUAACACGUAGGGGGCGAGCGUUGUUCGGAAUUAUUGGGCGUAAAGGGCGCGCAGGCGGCCCGAUAAGUCUGGUGUUUAAGGCCACAGCUUAACUGUGGUAAUGCGCUGGAA